UCUAAUGUGGCAGAAUAAUGCAAUGAAUUUAAGAUUCAUAAAUAAAGAAUACUUCUUUCUUUAGAA
rnacentral:tRNA from 1 species